rfam:Heligmosomoides polygyrus genome assembly, scaffold: HPBE_scaffold0001237
AAAAUCAUACUAUACAGAAUCAUUUCUGUAGUGUGUGUUUCACAGUCCCAAUCAAAGGGCGAUACCUGUCCACCGCGAUGAACGGGUGACGGGCGAGUUGCGAGCGGGAAGAGCGCGCUUGUCGCGUUGAGGACCGUGACGCGACCUCGCGGUCGUGUCAGCGACUCGCUCUUCUGAGCGGU